AGGCUGGCUGGCCAGGAAGCCACCGCCAGGAGGGAGCUGGGCAGACAGGGCCCAGAAGCAGGGCCGGCCUGGGGGUGGAGCCUGCACACUCUGCAAAGCUCCAGCCUGGCUCCACCCCUUCCCUGCCAGGAGCUGAAAAGGAUGACGUCACCCAGACUGAGGCCCUGGGCCGGGAUGGGCUCAUUAGCCGGGAAGCCGGCACCUGCAGGGCUCGAGGAUUUCCCGUGGUUGCCCCGUGAUGGAUCUUCGCUCGUCUCCUGAGGCCUGGUCAGCUCUAGGGGUCUCUGCUUUGGGGUCUUGGAGAUGGCGCCUGGCUAUUCAGACUUGAAGUCUGGGACACUGGUUCAUCACCAGAGACUAACGCCGCCGUGAGCAUCCUCCCCAAGCACGCAGCCCCUCCCCGUCCUGUGUCCGCGCCACCCCGCCCCCCCUCCGCCCAAUGCUCCUUUUCCGUGCUAGCGCUGGCGGCAGCUCCAUUUUUGUGAGGCUCCAUGGAGAAAGAUUAGAUCCCUAAUCUGACCAGGCAACAGUGAGCCCACAGCAAACCAGUGUCCCCCUUCCCUUGGGUCCAUGGCCCCUCCCCCACCCAAAACCCUGCUGGGUGCUUUGUGUUGCCGGCUUGCAGAGCAUAUGCUUGGCUGCUUGCUUUGUGUCUGCUGUUUAUCCCUCUCUUCCUACUUAACUUCUGUUUCUGCUUGGCCCAUCUGGCUCCUGUGGUACCUGCUUUUCACUCCCGUUGCGCUUCCCCUCCAAUGCGGCCUGCCCCCUAUUUACCACUUCCCUCCCAGGGCUUGGCUCUUGUCCACUCUGGGGCUGCUGGCAGGAGCUCUUGACCUGGAGUGUAGGAGCAGUGAGGGACUCCUCCAGCCUAUGGGACUGCCCAGAGGCACAGCUGGGGACCCUGACCUCGGGGUCACUGCGGUGUUCUGGAGACGCCCUUAGGGUGGGAAGUUGAGGCGGGUGGUGGAGGGCAGGUUGGGAGUGGCCUUUGGACUGGGGAGAGGGCUAGGUUCUGGUAGAAACCCUCCCCCGCCAUCUCCCCAGGUCCUUCUGAGCUUCCUUCCUACCAGAGGUGAUUCUUGGGGUCGGGUGGGGGUCACCCAAAUCAGAGUCUUGUAGAUACUGCUCUCUGUUCACGGCAGUGAUGGGAAAGUGACCUGUGAGUAGCAGCAGGAGAGGAUGAGGCCAGGGAAGGCCUGCAGUUCUGACCCAGAACCCCAGGGCACACAAGCUCCUUCCUGCUGAGAAGGGGCUGUGGCAGUCUGAUGGCUUGGGCAAAAGAGAAAAUGGUGGCAGCCUGAAGCUGCAGGAUGCUCACAGUGGGCUCAGAGGGGAGACAGAAAGGCCCUCUCCUUCACUAGCAGUGCUCUGCUGGGGGUCAGUCUCACCCCACACAUCACACUAGGCUCCACACUGCCUGAGUCAUUGCUCUGCCUCCUCCGCCCCCUCACCAGAUUGCACACUUGUGCAUACUUGCACACCCAGGUCAUGGCUCACACUCACCCCUCCAAUGUAGCCUGCUUCGUUCCUGGUGUGAUGUGGCAGCUCAUGGCUUCCUUGGGACUUGUGAGGGGGUGGUGGAGCCUGGAAGAGAAUGGAGGAGAAGAAAUGGGGCCCGACAGGGGCAGGGCUGUCAUUCAUCUGCCUCUCUGGACCUGGGUUGCUCCUCCAGGCUAAGGCUGGCUGCCGAGGAGGCAGAGCUGGGCCUGGAGUCAACAAGGAUCCACGUGCUUGGGGACCAUCGGCUGCUGCUCCCUGUAAGCAUCUGCUUCCCACGGAAACCUACAGGGCUUGGCUGCCAGGCCUCACUGCGUGCCCACUCCUCUGUGGCUCUGUUCUCUGUCUCGGUUGUUCCAUCUGCCCGCUCCACCAGCUCCUGGCACAGCUCUCUUGGCCUCGUUAUUUCUCUCCCAGAACCUUCUUCCUGCUCCUCAUUUCUUCCUGUCCUUUCUCCCUGUCUUUAUCCAGCCACAUUCAUGCCACUGUCCCUGAGGUCUUCCUCUUUUGUCUUUAUCCAUCAUUUUUCCUCUUGCUUUUCUGCUGUUUUUCUCCAUAUUCAUAUUCUCUGUCUCAUACAUAUUCAGUGGCUCCUUGAAAAUCCACCUAGAUUAUUCAAUGUGCUAGAAGCCUAGAUCUGCUUCAGGAAUAAAACUUCUUAGACUCUAACGCUAGGUCUCUGUCUCAGACACUAGUCUGGACUAAUUGCCUAGAACAUGUUGGUAGACCCACCUACCCUUCCACCCAAGUAUGCUCACUCUUUGCAAUGCCUCCUCUUCUGAUCUGGGACAAGGCAGCUGUGAGGUGUGCAGAAGCCAGACAGAUAAGCCACAGCACCUCGGUCAAGUGACACGGCAGGGGGUGCGGAGAGUCUGGGGCAAGAGUCUCCCUUUAAAGGGAUUUGAGGAGUUCAGUCCUGGAAAGAAACUUAGGACCCAACGUGUCCGAUCCUUGUGCUUGUACAAUCCUUUUACGUCCGCUCUGUUAUCCCCUUAUACCUCUCAUGGGAGGUUCAUAAAUAAGGAAACUACUGUCUUCGGACUAGAAGUUACUCCGCUGGCGCUCCCCAGCACCUGAGGAACAGAGCUGGAGUCAGAUUCUCCGCUUUGGGAUUUGCAGCCCUUGCCUGUGGCAGGUGAAUGAACAGAAGGAACUGGAAAAUGGCAGUUACAGGACAAGGAGAUGCGAGAGCUUCCCGAGGAAGCGGAGAUGAGGGAGCAGCGUUUGGAGAGGGCACAGUCUGCAGCGGGCCAGCUCGAGGACUGAGGCCCUGUCUCUGAGCUUCCCUGAUGACCCCUCCUUUGCACUCAGUCUUGCUUGGCACACCCACCUCUCUUUGCGUUUGAAGCUUCUGAGAACAAAGAAGACCAGGCAAUCUCUUCAAGAUGCCCCCCUGACUGUUUUGGCAGUGGAGUGGCCAGUGAUUCCUGCUGGGGGUCCUCUUCCUAUGGGAGCUUCCUGGGAGUCACCACCGGAAAACUAGAGCCCUGGGUCACAGAUGAGAUCCCUCUGCUUUCACACACAUGUUUUAAAAACAACGAUGCAAAGUGAUCAUCACAAUAGAUCCUGGGGUUCAGAGGAAAUUGAACUGCUGCUCUAAAACCUCGUGCUACAGGAUGCCUGGUGGUGGGGAGCACUUUUGGCCAUAAGAACCCUUAAGCCGAAAGCCCCAGACUGAGGCACGUGUUGUUUUGAGAGGUGAACAGGUCACCCCUGCAUGGUCUUAGGUCCCUCUGCUACCUGCUGGCACAUCAAUCAGAGAUGAGAUUUGCAGGCAGAGAGGUGCAAGUUCAAGUUUCAGCUUCACUACUUGAUUUGGGCAAGUGGUUUGACCUCUCUAAGCCUCAAUUUCCUAAUCUGUAAAAAGAGGACAAUACUUCACUCAGAAGGCUGCUUCAAAGAUUCACUUGAGAUAGGCACACCAUUUAAUCACCACCCAAUAAAUGGUAACAAGGAUGGUGCCUUUAGAUGAUGAUAAUGUUAAAUAGUACCUACAACUACACCAGUGAAUUGGUGGUCUUGACACUGUGGCAAGACUUUAACCAGCUUCAUUAACCUCUGACCUCAUCUGUCCCUUAGCCUCAUUUAAAUUAGACCCAGUGACCAGCAAUUCUCAAUCUCCAUCUCCAUCAGUCUCCAUCAGCCUGAGCUUCCACAGUCACAGCAUCUUCUGAAUGGUUCUACUGGAAGUGACCAGAUCCCACCUGGCUGCUGGCUCAUCUGAAACACAGCCAGUCUGCCUGAUCCUAAAGCUCAUGUUCCACACGGAGGAGGUUUUCAAAGGUGUUUCCCAAUCCCAAUGCUGGGGCUGGAUGUGGUGGAGCAGAAGCAGACGAGCCCUGAACUUGGUGCUGCCCCUCACCGAGUGUGGAGAAAUAAGAAAACCUGACAGGCGGAACCAGGCUUUGAUCAUGCAUUGUUGUCACAACGGAAUGGAUGCGUGACACGAAGAUGCCAAAAAAAUAAAGCAGUGAUUUCCCGACAGUUCCGUGAACUCUGUUAUGGAUCAGGAGACUGAGGCUACAGAGGAGAAGGGAACUGCUCACAGUGACCCCGCUGCUUACAGGAAACCACAAAGACAGGAAGAUGGCUCGAGACAUAUGGUGGAAACCAAUUAAAACCAGUUGAAGGCAACAUGGCAGUCUGAGUUGACCUGACAUAGACCCCGCAGCUCAUUAUACACUCACUGUGAUAUAUUACCAUGCUCCGUAACACACCCACCAAUGCCAUGACAGUUUGUAACCAAAUAAGGAAAGAAAAGAGGUGGCAUCCUUGUUCCCCUGAAAAGCCUGCCCAUUUCCCCAAAUAACUAUGAAUAUUCCUCCUCUUCAUUACCUUGACCCCUGAUAACAACUGCUUAAUGGCCCCAAGAGCUGAGAAGUUGGUUUGUUAACUUAAGUUCCCACUUCUCCAUUCAUGGCCAUUGAAUAAAGCUUGUUCUGUUGAAUGCUCAGCUUUGGUUUCGCUUCAAAUCCACGACACUGAACAGGAAAGACCCUUCUGAGGAAGGGAAGGAUUGUGGGUACAAGGCCCACCCAUGGGCCUCUGCUCAGAGCUCCUCUGAAUGUGGGUUGGAGUCCCACCGGAGUGAGGUGAAAUUGCUAACACUUUCCUCUUGCCAAAGAGAACUCCCUGCAAAGCAAUAAAAUGGCAGUGAGCUUUGAAGAGGGCUUUCUAACCACCAAGAAGCCAGUCCUGGAUUUUGAUGCUGUGUCAUUUAGCACAGUUCCUUUCCCACCAACUGUCUGCUAUGACACCAUGGAGCUAAGUAGCAGAGCUGCUGAAAUAACAGUCACGGGAGAGGGAAAUUAAGACACAUCAGCAAGGGAAAAAGAUUCUUUUAAGCAAGGAGGGGAAUAGGACAGCAACCGAUGAAACAGAAGCAAGAUGUCUGUUCCAGGUGGAGAGAGGCAGAGAAGUCUUUUGUGUGGCAGCUGAGUCAGAGAUGCAACAGAGAGUGCAACAGCCUGCAUUAACGUGGAGCUUAUCAUAAACAUUCACUUAUUGAUCACAUUGCCACCCUAUGCGAAGAGGCUCAUAGGAACCUUUAUUUGACUCUAGGGGGCUAAGCACAUGGCUUACGAGCUUGGAAGUUCUGACUCUUUAAUUUCAACAAGAGAAGGCUGGAGUGGAGGAGAAGAGAAAAGGCCACAGGGAGGGUUAAUUUGCCUGCUUGACGCCUGUCAUUUCACAUGUGAGAAAGAGUGGUGAGUUCUCAUAAGGAAGGGCAGACACGCAUCUAUUACUCCAUUACAAUGCUUUUUGACAAGGCUGUGCAUCUCAAGCCAAUGUAUUUGGUCCAAAGACACAGCAAUGGGUUUUCCAGGUGGAGGAGGGCAAUGUCGAGCAGGUACUUGGCACGAAUGUUUAAGUAGGGAACGGUUGUAAUAAGACCCCGCCGUGCUUUCAGCCCGAGUGACUGCUGCUCUGCAGCAGGAACAUCUAUCACUGGCAGGGAGCAGCGUGUCUACCUCCCUGUCACCUGCCUCAUGUCUAAAAGAGACACUAAAGAUCUGGCCACGGUGGGGUCCAUGUCUCCUGGCUCAUGUUGCGAUUUGUCUAGGAGCAUGAUGAAUAUGCACGUUUCCUCUGACAUAAUCUUUUCUCCUCCUUGGACAGGCAUCUACACAUGUCCCCUUGUCUCUCCCCAAGUCUCCAAAUGGAGGAAUGUUCUCAAAAGAAGGUCUUGAUUCUCGCUGUACUUUCUUCUCUCUGUCCUCCUCCUUUCUUCCCCAACCCUCACCCUUUCCAGUAACCCCCACGGAGUGAAAGUCUCCCUGUCAGUCUGAUAGCCACUGUUAACAAGGGUGUUCUGUGAGCCUGCAUGCUGCCUGGCCAUGAUCUAUUCUUCUUUGUGCAUCAGAGGGGUCCAAGACUCCCCCACAGGUAAUUGAGAAAAUUGACGUGCCCGUUACUAGUGAUGUGAACUUACAAACCCUGGGACUCACUGAUUAGAAUCAAAUUCUUCUCAAGCUGGAUGACCUUCAGAAUUACACAAUGUUAGAGCUUGAAAGGGUCUUAAAGAUUUUCACCUAAACUCCUUCUUUAAUAGAAGAGGAACCUGAAGUGCAGAGACGUGACAGGAAUUGUCACUUAAAGUUACUCCUUCCUCAACGUUCUUCCCACUACUCCAACUCAUCUUUACCUCACUCUACCCUCACUCGUAGGUAGAACUGCUUUUAAGCCAUCUCUCCUCUUUCUAAACCUCUUAUAAGGGAAAGUGGUUUUAAGCUUGGUAUGUAGAAGAUGAUCAAAGCAUCACUUAAUCUCUUAAGACAGGACAUGCUAUCCUAACAUCAGGAAAGUCUUUCCAUCUAACUUUUAUUUGUUUUGCUGCCAUGUUUCCUAAACUUUUUCAGUAAAUAGAGAGGAGAGGAGUCCCACCCUUAUGUAUUUUCCCAUAGGUGUCAAAUAGGCAAAUUUAUCCUCCCUGUGGUCUUGUCUCUUCUCCUCUGGUCUUGCCUUUUCUUGUUGAAGUUAACAAAUCAUAACUUCCACAUGCAUAGGCCGUAUUCUUAGCCUCCUAAAGUCAAAUAAAGGUUAGUCCAUUGGAGAACUGACUCUUUGCCUAAUGACAAAAAAGUAAUAUCGAUAAAAGCUUUCUCUUUUAUUUCAUGCCAAAGUUCAGGUUGAUUUAUAGGCUAGAUCCAGCCUGGCUUCUGGCACUCAAGCAUGUCAGAGAGGAAAACUGGGACAGAGAGCAAAAUAGAGAGCCUCAUAAGUGGGGGCUGUAGAAUAAACAUGUAGUAGGCAAGUUUCGGGAGAGCUCCCCAAUUUUGUACUCUGUAGUUCUUGAUAUGUGCCCAUAAGCAUCUUAAAAAGCAUUUGAGAAACUGCCAAAAAGCCAAGCUAAAAAUACCCUUGGAACAGCGUAAUCAAGAAGAAGUACAGAGAUGGGUGUGAGCUCUCCAUGGAAGGUGUGAGACUCAGAGCAUGGGAGCCAGACUGCAGUGCACAUCUCAGGCUCUUGUCUAGGGGACUGAACCAUGAGGCAGUCUGAUGUGCUUGGGGAGGAAUGGAUGCAUCUGCUUUCAGACUCUGUUUUCUUUUUGAAUCAGUCCAGCCCAAUAGUGUAGCAAGCGUGUCUAAUGAGCACCUAUUAUGUGCCUUAGGAUUAAAAGUGUGAAAACACACCCACUCCUCAGGAGAGUUUGAAACCUUCUGAUGACUCCCCAUUGCCCUUUGUAACACUUAUAAUUUGGCUUGAAUGGCUUCUGGGUUCUCUGUCUAACUCAGUUUCAGGAUCCUACUUCUUCUAACACUUAAUCAUGUGUCUCUGACAAAUAUUUUCUCUAAUCUUCUUUUUCCAGUUAUGAACCUUCUGUUCCCAAUUAUUGGGAACAUUUUACCGUCAGCACAUUCCCUCCCUCUCUCCUGGGGCUUCCACCAGUAGUUUAAAAAUACUCAGACUCUUGCUUUCUGGGAAUAGGAUCCCACUUCUUUAACCUUUCUACCCAAGAUAUUUCCAAACUUCAUAAGCCUUCCCUCAAGCUUCUCUUAACUUGGGGAGCAAAGAAUUGGCCAGAAGAGUGAUGGUGAGUGUGGGACAGUCUUGCUUUCUGAGGGUACACCCAGGACUGUGUUUUCCAUGUUGAUGGAAAACAUGUUGAAUCGUGUACUUGUUCGUAUUUUUAAAUAAAAAUUGUUAUUUGAGACAAAGACUUGUCUUGAGGAAUCUAUAGUCUAAAGACAGACAUCACGACAUGGGCAACCAUCCACAGGACACAAAGAACCAAGUUUUAAAAAGUAACUUGAGGCAUUAAGUGUUUAUAUCAUGCAUAGAUCAAGGCAAAUUCCUGUAAGUACCAGAGUGAUUUGUCCACGAGUUGGAUUGAGAGCAGAGCCCAACAAAAUCCCAGCAUGAAGUCGCUGUGCUAAAGCAGGCAUGGUGAGAAAACACGCUGUUGGAGAAAACAUGGAAGAGUUAGAGAGCUGGAGAGUCACGAGUCUGCUGUGGAGACGGCAGGUUGGGCAGUUGCACCUGCGUAUCUAACUUGUGUGUUUGUCGAGUGGGGCUGGGGAGGUGUGAGUUCCAGGAUCAGGGAAAACAGGGAGCGGCGCAGUGAGGUGCUGAGGGCGGGAAAGAGGCAAGACGGAGUGCAAUGCUUGCGGAUGGAAUCGCCAUAUCAUCCUUGACCCAGAGUUUACGUUGCUUGGCCUCUUCCUGGCUGAAGAGGAUGGUUUAAUUGAGGUGUCUCUUUCAGCCACUGAGAAGGGCUUCUUUGACUACCUUCUCUGAGACUCACAUUCUCUUUCUCCUGAAAACUAAAAAACCCCAAAUACCAAAUACCCGUGCAAUGCUGGACUUUGUGCUCAGUGCUUCCAUAAACACUCUCUCACUGAAUUUUCUCAGUCCUUUCGUCAAGGAUGUCCCAUUUUUCUCUUCUUUACAGAUGAGGAAACUGCAUCGCAGAGAAUAAACAACUUAUCCCACC
ensembl:lncRNA